ACUUACUGCUAUUGAAUACAGAUCGCCCCGUGAUGAAUUCGAUCGCGUAUUAACGUUUACUAAUACCUAAAGUUGGAUUACAGAAGUAGUUUGAAGUGUUUUGUCAAAGUUUAUAGGCAACUUUUUUAAUUUAAAAAAAUAACGUUGCGUUUAGAAAAAGUGUUUUUUCCUGUCUUCAUAAAUGGACAUUUUGGGUAUACAAGGACCGAUUUAAUCGAAAAAAAAGACCCCAUUGUGAUGUUUAUGGGACAUAUAGGAGUGCCAACAAAGAAGCUCGUCAAAGAAUACCGACUCCAACUAUGGAAGCAGCAGGAACUUUGAAUAUUUCUGACGGUCGACGAACAGGGUUACCUUCUACUUCAACACCAUAACCAGCUGGCACAACUGGGGACGGCUAUGGAGGAGGUUCUUUGCGGUUUGAAAUGUCUCAAACACACCCAGGAGGUGUUGCCUUCAACCAGCGGAGAAUACUCUACAACCAGUCGACCCAGCAAACCAGCACAACAGCCCAUUCAGCAACCUGCUCAGGGGGACAUGUCAGCUUAUGAGUACGCGUUCACCUUCCGGACAGUAGCAGCAUCCAGUGGAUGGAAUGAGCCGGCGCUUCGUACGCUAUUCAGAAGAGGUUUACUCAAAGAAGUCCAGAUGGAACUGGCCUGUUGAGACGACAACCUCACCCUGGACACACUUAUUGCGAUGGCCGUCUGGAUGACCAACUUCAGGAGAGCCGGUACUCAUCGCUUCUCUCCUUUCCUCAGUGAACACUCGGGAUCAGAGCCUGAACCCAUGGAGGUAGAUGUCCCACACCUCAGAGGACUUAACGAAAUCACCACAAAGUAUCGGUACAAUCUCCCAUUGGUGCCAUCAAAUACCUCCGCAGGGCCCAGUUCUUUCCAAAUUCAAAUCAGCGUCUCCGUUACAAUUACUAACAUAAAUUAUCACACAAUCAAUAUUAGUCACAAAAUAAUAACUUAGGUUCCU